GGGGACUCACUUUGAUUCUCCUCCUCACAUGUCCUUAGGGGCAAGUGAAGGGUGUGUGUCUGCCCCCGUGUGGUGGGGGGACCCCUCCCUCCCAGCCUCCACAGGGGCUCGCGCCAUCAGCCUUAAACUCCUCCUCCCUUGGGUCGGUGAAGAUCCUCAAGGUGCCCAGGCCCUACCCUGGGUCAUCGGCUCUAGUCCUGACCCUGGCCCAGAGUGAAGCUGGGGGCUGAGAGGAGCCCAUCUCCAUUCGGAUUGCCCACUGACCCCUGAUUCAUUAUCUGCUUGGAAUCAAACAUUCCUGACCAGGCGGCUCUGGUGGGCACACACCCAUGAGACCAGUCAGGCUUGCCUGGUGUAUCUCUGGCCUGCCUUACCCCCAGGCAAUGCCACGGUCCUCCCAGAUGGAGGCCCCUGGUGCUAGUCAUUGAUUUCUGGGCCGUGAAGAGCCCAGUGCCUCCAAAGUGCGAUGCUGAAUAACCCGUUGUCUUUUUUGGUCCAGCUUGGCUGGUGGUAUUUCUCCCCACUUCUUUGGGGAGUACUCUAGAAUAUAGAAUACAGAGAGAAAUGGAACACAUUCCAUUUCUGGAAUACAGCUCUGGCUAAUGCUAGAGCUCCCCAUGACCAAGAAGAAGGCAUGACUCUCAUCUCCAGCAGGUGGGAAAAACUGAACGCCUCUAACUUACUCAGAAUUUCUAAUUCCUAUAUCUUCCCUCUGUUUUGAAGGUUUUCUUUCUUUCUUUCUUUCUUUCUUUCUUUCUUUCUUUCUUUCUUUCUUUCUUUCACACAAAUCACCAAACCCAAGUCAAACUAGCGAGAAAGGAGCUAUUAUGGCUUGGAAUGUCUUCAGGCACAGCUAUAUCCAGGGGCUUAAACAAUGUCAUCGGGACUCUGUCUCUCAGCCUCUCUCAGCUCUGCUCUCCUUUGUUUUGGCUUCGUUGUCAUGGCAGCCAGAAAUAAGUUCUGUACCCUCAGAAAUAAGUUCACUGAGGAGAAUGUCUCGCCUCUGAUUAUGUUCAUGAUAAGCCUGGAAUUGACUCUCUUUUGCUCUGCUUUGCCUAGAUUUGGACAUGCGCCCGUCCCUGAACCAGCUAUAGCAUCUAGAAAGAUGUGAUGCUCAGAUUGGUCAGAGCGAGUCACAUGAUCCGAGUUAGCCCCACGGACAGAAUGUGUGAUGCAUGGUUCCUGGAAGCAGUACCGGAUGCUGUUUCCAGAAGAACAGGAUGUUGGCCACGUGCCUCACCGCCCGAGCCUCGAUAUGGGGCGGAGGAGGCUCCUGGCUCUUUCGGACACGAUUAGAGCAGGAACCUCAUUUGGCUCCGGAGGGGACAGGCAGAGCCCCGACGACAGGAACCAGUAGCUGUGGCUGUGUUCUUUUCCUCUUCCCACCUGACCGAGCCUUGCAAGCAGAUCCGGAGGGAAGGACACAGUGAGAGGCGAUUGCAAGCCAGGAAGAAAAGGCUCCACCAAGAACCCAAUCAACCGGUGCCUUGAUCUUGGACUUCUAGCCUCCAGACUCAGAAAUAAACUUCUGCUAUUUAA